AGUAGGGAAUUUUCCACAAUGGGCGAAAGCCUGAUGGAGCAACACAGCGUGUAGGAUGAAGGCCUUCGGGUUGUAAACUACUGUUAUAUGGGAAGAAAAACUAGUAUAGGAAAUGAUAUUAGCUUGACGGUACCAUGUCAGAAAGCAACGGCUAACUAUGUGCCAGCAGCCGCGGUAAUACAUAGGUUGCAAGCGUUAUCCGGAAUUAUUGGGCGUAAAGCGUCUGUAGGUUGUUUGUUAAGUCUGGUGUUAAAACUUGGAGCUCAACUCCAAAUUGCAUUGGAUACUGGCAGACUAGAAUUGUUUAGAGGUUAGCGGAAUUCCUUGUGAAGCGGUGGAAUGCGUAGAUAUAAGGAAGAACACCAACAUGGCGAAGGCAGCUAACUGGGAACAUAUUGACACUGAGAGACGAAAGCGUGGGGAGCAAACAGGAUUAGAUACCCUGGUAGUCCACGCUGUAAACGAUGAUGACUAGUUGAURGAAACCAUCGACGCAGCUAACGCAUUAAGUCAUCCGCCUGAGUAGUAUGCUCGCAAGAGUGAAA
rnacentral:rRNA from 2 species